rnacentral:sRNA from 1 species
GCUGGGCGUGGUGACGCACGCCUGUAAUCCCAGUGACUUGGGAGGCUGAGGCAGGAGGAUUGGGAGUUUGAGGCCAGCCUCAGCAACUUAAUGAGACAUAAAGCAACUUAAUGAGAACCUGUCUCAG